rnacentral:misc_RNA from 1 species
GAUGAAGAACGUAGCGAAAUGCGAUAAGUAAUGCGAAUUGCAGAAUUCAGUGAGUCAUCGAAUCUUUGAACGCACAUUGCGCCCUGUGGUAUUCCGCAGGGCAUGCCUGUUCGAGCGUCAUUGCUGCCCUCAAGCACGGCUUGUGUGUUGGGCCUCCGUCCUCCUCCCGGGGGACGGGCCCGAAAGGCAGCGGCGGCACCGCGUCCGGUCCUCGAGCGUAUGGGGCUUCGUCACCCGCUCUUGUAGGCCCGGCCGGCGCUUGCCGACACAUCAAUCUUUUUUCCAGGUUGACCUCGGAUCAGGUAGGGAUACCCGCUGAACUUAAGCAUAUCAAUAAGCGGAGGA